AGGACACUAGAGUCCCUGGAACUGGAGAUACUGAUGGUUGUGAGUCACCAUGUGGGUGCUGGCAACUGAACCUGGGUCCUUCUCAAGAGCAAAGAGUAUUCUCAAGAAGAAAAACGAAAGUACGUUAUUUGUCAGAAAAUGGAUGGAAUGGAAAUCAUCAUACUAAGCAAAAUAAGCCAAAGUCAGAAAGACAAAGAAAAACAAGACAGAACAAAAACACCAUUCUGGCUGAGCAAAAAGGAUCAUAUGCCAAAUUCUCCAGUCUCUCUACAUUCUUCAUUUCCUUGAGAAAGCUCAGUAAAGAGAUCCUGAUUUUCAGGACAGCUCCGGUUAUGCUAUUGCUAUCGUACACAGAAUGCUUAGGAUGGGACUCUGUGCAUCCGUUAUGCUGUUCCUGGUCACUCUUCCCUACAGUGUGAGGAGCCAUCUUGAGAAGGAUUCUGAGUCUGGAAAUGGUUACUCAUCUGCUUCUCUCUAUA